rnacentral:rRNA from 1 species
CCUACGGGAGGCAGCAGUGGGGAAUAUUGGACAAUGGGGGCAACCCUGAUCCAGCCAUGCCGCGUGUGUGAAGAAGGCCCUCGGGUUGUAAAGCACUUUCAGUGAGUAAGAACGCCUGGUGGUUAAUACCCAUCAGGAAAGACAUCACUCACAGAAGAAGCACCGGCUAACUCCGUGCCAGCAGCCGCGGUAAUACGGAGGGUGCGAGCGUUAAUCGGAAUUACUGGGCGUAAAGCGCGCGUAGGUGGCUUGAUAAGCCGGUUGUGAAAGCCCCGGGCUCAACCUGGGAACGGCAUCCGGAACUGUCAAGCUAGAGUGCAGGAGAGGAAGGUAGAAUUCCCGGUGUAGCGGUGAAAUGCGUAGAGAUCGGGAGGAAUACCAGUGGCGAAGGCGGCCUUCUGGACUGACACUGACACUGAGGUGCGAAAGCGUGGGUAGCAAACAGGAUUAGAUACCCUUGUAGUC